UGGCGGAGAGCACAGGGAUCAGAGGGCUGCAGCCACACGCACUGGGCACCAGCCCUGUCCCUUCCCAAAGUGCCCUGCAUGUUGCGGGUCAAGAGCCGCCAACUGACAUUAAAAACCCCAGACCCGCGCCAGUCAUUGCACGAUCCAUAACAUUAAAGUCAUAGGUCUCUCCACUCCUCAAUGGGCUUUCCCAGAUCCACAGUGUUCAUGGGGACCUUCACCUCCCCGAUGAUGUCAUGCUUUGAGAAGCGGUCGAAGUCGUAGAUCGCCAUCACCAAGGUCUUUCCUCCCAGUUCAUCGUAGGGGACCUGCCAGGAGAACUGAAGAACAUUCAUCUCAUAAACCAGUCGCCUCUUUACACCCAGGAACUCUGCAACAGAGGUCAUCCAGCCGCUAGCCUCUGGGGUAUAAAGACCAGCCCUGUGAGUGCCUGAUCUCAUAGGAAGUCUGACCAGCAGGGGUCACUGUGGUGCGCUGAGGAGAAACAGUCCCUCACAGUGUUGAAGAUCAGCAACUUCGCACAGCCAGGGUGAGAAUC